rnacentral:rRNA from 1 species
UCUCAGGACGAUUUCUGUCGGCGUACCUAAUACAUGCAAGUCGAACGAGAGCGACCGGUGCUUGCACUGGUCAAUCUAGUGGCGAACGGGUGAGUAACACGUGGGUAACCUGCCCAUCAGAGGGGGAUAACAUUCGGAAACGGAUGCUAAAACCGGCAUAGGUCUUCGAACCGCAUGGUUUGAAGAGGAAAAGAGGCGCAAGCUUCUACUGAUGGAUGGACCCGCGGUGCAUUAUCUAGUUGGUGAGGUAACGGCUCACCAAGGCCGUGAUGCAUAGCCGACCUGAGAGAAUCGAAUUCCCGCUGCCACA